UGAAACUCAACACACACAACUUUCACAA
rnacentral:piRNA from 1 species